rnacentral:sRNA from 1 species
GUGUGCCCACGUGAGCCUGGGUUUCCGCACGGAGAAUGGCCAUUGCCCCACACCGCCGAUAAGGGGUUCGAGAUUUACCCGGUGCCGGUCCCUAUGGGUUAGGCCCAACUGGCUUCCGCGGCGGCUACGGCCGGAUACGCUGUGUGGUGCUGAAGCUCGGACGACCGGGGUGGCGC